GCGAGCUGCGCGGUGGCAUCAACCCGCGCCACACGGGAGCGUCCUCAGAGCCUGAGGAACGUGGCUUCCUCACCUGUAGGAUGGGCUCCGGCCCGGCGGGGCGUGUGAGGACUGAAUGAGGUCUUCCUAAGAGUUACAUAACUGCCCCCAAAGCCAGGGGGCAGGAGCAGGGCCAGCCGUGGGAGAUGUUUCCGAAGAGGAAUGCUGAGGAAGGACUGACCUUGAGAAGACAGGGAGUUUGCCAGGCCGUGGAAUGUUCCCAGCCUCGGGGCUCAAACAAAAACUGUAUUCAGAGAAAUGAAGACAUCCUUCCUGGAAGCCCUCUGUCUGCCUUCUCGACAUCAGUGGAGAAUCAGUCACAACUCUGGUCUUACGCCCACCCCUGGCAAGGAGCAUAUGACUCCCACGAAUAGAUGUCCCUCUGGAGCUGGAGCCGGGAGGGAAGGGGCAUAUCUGAUCAGAAACAGGGUUCUGACCGUGCACUAGAAGGCAGAAUGGGAGAAGAUGCUUUCGGUGUCUAAAACUGACAAGUGACUGAUGGCUAGAAUACUCAAGAAAUUUCUACAAGUCAGGAAAAAGAGAGCAGCCCCAACAGAAAAAUAGACACAAGAAAAGCUAACAAACAUGACAAGAUACCCAGUCAUUGUUAAUCACCAAAGAAAUACGUAUUUAAAUGAGGUUGUACACCCAUUAGAUUAACAGUUAGAAAGCUGGGUAAUUCCAGUUGUUAGCAACCCAAAUACACUGCCGGUGGGAGUAUGGACGGAUGCAGCCAUUCUGGAGGGCAGUCUUGUCUUCUUGUCAAGUGAUGUAAAUGUGUCUACUGUAUGAUCAGCGAUUCUGCUCCCAGGGCAAUUCUGACAGAGGCCACUGGGGACAUGUGUGACGAUGUGCCCUGACACUUGAUCUGUGGUGGAGGGGACUUGUCCACAAUUCUGUCCGUUACUGAAAAAGAAAAGGUCACGUGUGGUGGGUACACCAACAAGGCACUAUGUAUCACUUAGGGGUGAUUGAUUAGAAGUACCCAUGGCAACAUGGAUGGAUCUUAAAAACAAAGUGGUUUUUUUUUUUUUUCAAUAAAUCUACUUGGUUAUGAAUUUUU
rnacentral:lncRNA from 1 species